UAAUAUGCCUAGCACAUAGUAAACGCUACAAAAUAGGCUAUUAAAUUAAUGAAUACAAUAUCUCAAAAGUUAAAGGACAGAAUAAUAUCUAUUAAAAAGUACAAGGAAUUGUGAAACAAAAACAAUUUAGAUGUGAAUCCUGGACAUGAAAAAUCCCGGCGACUUGACCCACUUAAAGGGGUAGAAUUCUAAGCAUAUCUUCCAAUUUUUGAAUCUAUAGCU
rnacentral:lncRNA from 1 species